rnacentral:lncRNA from 1 species
CUGGCGCAAAAUCAUCAGCUUGAAGCUCAGCGCAUCCCACAGGAGUCAUGGAGAAGUCUAAGGCUGAAAUCUUCCUGAAUAAACACAGAUGCAUCAUUAUAGAAAAUGCACCAUGACCCAGUCUACAGCUGAAAACUUUCUGAGAGAGAAUAGGACCACUAUUGUAAACGGUGUGACAAAAGAACAGUGUGACAGUUUGGUUGAUUUUCUUCUUGAAAAAGGCCUUUUUUUUGAUGAAUCUGGAAGUGAAAUUCGCACCCUGAAUACCAGUCAGAAGAAAAUGCGCAAGCUUCUGGAAUCUGUAAAAACAAAGAAGGCAAAUGAACUGGUGUUGCAGUGGCUGAGGGAGAAGCUGCCUGAUCUGAUUGAUGAUUUGGAAAACAACAGCGACCAUGAUCCGCCUCCGAAGAAGAAGUCUAGAAGGCAUAGAAACAAUGUAGAUGAAGCAGACAGUUGCUUCAGUCAACCUGAUCUCAAGGAUUUAUCCUUUCCCCAGUUGGAAGAAUGGGUGUCCAAUUCUACAGUCAGCCAAAACCUAAUUAAGAACUUGAAAAACAAACUUGCUGAUGGUGAAAUGGAGGCUUUGGAAAAACAGUUGAAGAAUAAGAAAGUAAAAACCCAUUUUUGUUUCUUUGCUAAGGAUGUAAGGAAAAUUGAGGGUAACCGAAAACUAAAGUCAUUUCUUGAUGCUAGUAAAGAUGCAAAAUUUCCGGAUCUUCCAAUAGAGUUAUUUUUUGCAAAGAAAGAGGGUUUACAAGAUAAAUCCUUGCCAGAAAAAGACAGCAAUGAGGAUGACUUUACAAACAGUACUGGUUUAAAUAGUAGUGGCUAUGAAUCAUUAUGCAGCCAAAAUAGCAGUCAGUCUAUUGUCAGCAAGGAUCCUUUGUUAGAAAGUAAAGACCAGACUUUUGACUCUGCUGCUAGUAAUACUCAGCACCAAAUCGAAUCAACUGCCCAAAUUCAUCAGGAAAACAAAGAUGGGAGCCCAUUAGAGAAAGAAAUGGAAGCACAGGUGAAUAUCUGUGAACAACACGCAUCUCCUCAGAAGUCAAACGCUUUUAAAGUAGCAGAAGAUCUUCAAGUUCUCCCCUUUUAUGAGCCUGAUCACGAGGAUGGCACACCAGAGCAGCAGCAGGAGAAUAUAACACAGAUGCAGUGUGACCCAGAAACAGACAGAAAUGAACACGUUUUUAAUUCUGACCAAGUAAUGGAUGAAGUAUCCCAGGAAGAACAUGAAGAUUUAAAUUUUUCUAAUCAAAAGCUUCCUUCUACCCACUACCAAAAUGUAUCACAUGUUCAAAUGCAUCAUGAACACAAAGAGUAUAUACCAUUGGAGGAAGUUAUGGAAGAGCAGGGGACAGUAUGUGAGAAGAUGUGUGAGCCACUGAUCGACAAGUCACACAUAGCAGGUACAAUACCAGCCACCACUCAGAGUGUGGCCACAGAAGAUCGCAUACAAAGUGUGACUUCAGGAGCUUCUGAGGAGAAAUCUGAAUCUUAUUCCAUUACACUGCCUGAAACGACAGUUAUGUCCUUUCAAAAACAAAAUGUUCCUAAGAAAGCAGAAGUUUGCCACCUAGACCAAAAGUUGGACAUGCGGGAGAGUAAGAGUACACCACAUGUGCAGUGUGACCCAGAAACAGCCAGAAAUGAACCCUUUGUAGAGCCUGACUGUGUGGGUAUUUCUGAAGAUAAAAAACAAGGCAUGGAUGAGGUAUCCCAGAAAGAACCAAAGCUUCCUGCUGACCACUUCCAAAAUGGAUCACCUGUCCAAAUUCAGAAUGACAACAAAGAUGGGAUCCCAUUAGCAGAAGGUUUAUUCAGUAUGCCAGUAAGUGAUUCAGGGAAAAUAACAGGAAAAGCCAAAAGACAACCGAGGAACACAAGUAAGCUUAGAAGUGAACAUCGCAGGCUGCUGUAUGAUUGGGCAUUGAAAAAAUGCAGCAUUAAAGAAGAAAUAGAGAAAGUGUUUGACUGCAUUUCGAUCCAAAACCAGGUAGAACACGGAGAGUACCCAUGUUUUGUUGCAGAAAAUAUUAUGAUCUAUACAGACCCAAAAAACGGAGACAAACAAAUCAUUGUUACUGAUGACAAAAAUAAGGAUGUCAAGAACAACCUCCCAAAAGAGAUUACAUUUAUCCCUGAAUAUCAGAUGUGGGUGUGUGGUAUUAAAAAGGCUGUGGUUAUAAGGAACCUGGAAGAAAGGGAAUUAAGAUUUAAAUCUUUUGAUUUAAUCCUGCAGAGCUGUAAAGAACUAGUUUUUGAAGCCUUAGCCCCUGCUCUAGCAGUGUUCAAACACAUCCAACGACAGGAGAGGCUAUACUCUCUCACUAAAGAUCACUAAUAGCUCCCACAAGCUCCCUACAAAACCUGUAGUGACAGAAGAUGAGUGUAGAUCUUUUAACUGUUUAUAAAGGGUUUUGUAAUCUAAAUUAAAACAGCCUAUAAUGGUAUUUCUUUUGGGAAAAUAACUAAAAAAAAAAAAACAUUAUUCUUUAUUAUCUUUUUUUUUUACAAAAUGUUUUGGUUGCUUGUACAUUUCAUUUUAAAGACAUGUUAAUUGUCUUUAUCAGCUUUCAUCAGCCUAAUUUUUAUUACCAUGUGUUAUUACAUGACCUAAUUGUUUUUUCCAUGUGGGCGGCUUUUCUGAAAUGGUUAAUGUGUCACAAAACUAUUGCAGUGGACUGAUGUUUGCAUAAUAUUUCAAUAAUAACUGUUGGCUGAUUCUUUUGCUGUUCCACUGAACUACUGAAAUGCCCCUCCUUCCCUCUGCCAUUAGCCCACCGUGUUUAUGCUAUAUUCGACAGGUUAAUGGCACCAAAACAUUACAUUACAUUUAACAGUUUGGAUUAGGUAGUUUAGAUCUCUUUUAUUGCUUUCAUUUUUUUGAGCGCUGUCCACAGUCCACUAUUGGUCAUCUCUGUUGUGUGUUGUUUGUAAAUGCUUUUAUUAAACCAAUAAAUUACAUUUGCUCUUUGCUUCA